rnacentral:rRNA from 1 species
CCCUUAGAGUUUGAUCCUGGCUCAGGACGAACGCUGGCGGCGUGCUUAAUACAUGCAAGUCUAAGGGUUUAUCUUCCUUCGGGAAGAUAGACACUGGCGCACGGGUGAGUAACACGUAGGUCAUCUGCCCUUGGGUCUGGCAUAACUCCGGGAAACCGGGGCUAAUUCCAGAUGAUACCGAAAGGUCAAAGUUUCGACGCCCAAGGAUGAGCUUGCGUCUGAUUAGCUAGUUGGCGGGGUAAUGGCCCACCAAGGCGACGAUCAGUAGCCGGUCUGAGAGGAUGAUCGGCCACAUUGGGACUGAGACACGGCCCAGACUCCUACGGGAGGCAGCAGUAAGGAAUAUUGCGCAAUGGACGAAAGUCUGACGCAGCAACGCCGCGUGCAGGAUGACGGCCCUUUGGGUUGUAAACUGCUGUAGCAGGGGAAUAAGAGCCCACUCGGUGGGUGUGAAGGUACCCUGAAAGUAAGCUCCGGCUAACUACGUGCCAGCAGCCGCGGUAAUACGUAGGGAGCAAGCGUUGUCCGGAUUCACUGGGUGUAAAGGGUGCGCAGGCGGGUUGGCAAGUCAGAGGUGAAAUCUCACAGCUUAACUGUGAAACUGCCUUUGAUACUUCCAAUCUUGAGUUAAAGAGAGGUUGAUGGAAUUUCAGUGUAGCGGUGAAAUGCGUAGAUAUCUGAAAGAACACC